rnacentral:sRNA from 1 species
UCAACCAACACUGCUUGACGCGCAGAUC